rnacentral:lncRNA from 7 species
UGAUGGGGUGGUGGCAGAUUGGCUAACCAUGGCGGGAGGCGGACCCGCGGCGGCGAGAAAUUCGAUCGGUGCCCCCAAGUUUCCCCCCACUGCCAACCACGCGCACAAUCCAUGCGACAUGGCCAACCUGCCAGACCCCCAACGCACGCGAGGCACGCGGUGAGUUUGUCUCUCUCUCUCCAACCUGCUCCGCAUGCACUGCUACAAUGGUGGUGCGACCGCCCU